UGACAAAAGAGGAAUAUUUUCAAAUGAAGGAACACCUAAAGUUUCUCACUAGACCAGCAGUUAAGAGCAUUGAAACUACGCAUGGGGAUAUCUUCGAUUGUGUGUUGAUAUUUACAAGCAUCCUUCCUUAGAUCAUCCUUUACUCAAGAAUCAUACAAUCCAGAUGAGACCCAGCACUUAUCCAAAAGGGAUGAAAAUUUAUGGGGCUUCUUCAUCUAGUGCUAUGAACAUAGCAUUAAAAAAUGGAUGUUGCCCACUUGGAACAAUUCCUAUUCGAAGGACUCAAAUGAAACAAAUAGUUAGAGUGACUUCGCUUUCAAAGUUUGGGAAACAAAUUGAUCUCAAUCAAUAGAAUCAUCAUGUAAGCAUUCAGUUCUCAUUUUUCCUUCU